rnacentral:ncRNA from 12 species
AAAGAACGUCGCCGGAAUAACACGAGGGUGUUUCACCAGCAUACUUGAGUAUGUGGUAGUCGUGCCGGGAGUUCUUUCUUUU